CAGAAGAUAGUUUAAUUUAGAACUCUGGCUUUGGGAGCCAGGGGUGGGAGUUAAAAUCUCCUUUUUCUGG
rnacentral:tRNA from 1 species